UGAGGAUGUAGAGCAGUGCUCCCAAUGAGCUCUAUGUGUAAAGGGGGACAUACUGUACGGGCUAAAGGGGGACAUACUGUACGGGCUAAAGGGGGACAUACUGCACGGGUAUAGGUGCUUUUAUACUAUGGAGCAGGAGAAAACGUCUCUGGAAUCCCCGGACUACAUAAAGUAAAAUACAAGUCAGGGUUAGAAAAGAUCAAGUCUAAUAUGACAUUAGAAAUUCAGAUGACAAAGCUUCGACUUUCAUAUUGUGGACAUAUUACAAGAAAAGAAAGAUCAUUAGAGAAAGACAUCAUGCAAGGAAGACAAGGGAAAAUGACAAGAAAGGAAAACCUGCCACGCGUCGGCUUGACACUGUACAAACCCUGGCAGAUAUGAAGUUAUCAACAAGUCAUCUUGCCUCGGAUAAAACACCCUACAGGAAAGCUAUCGAUAGAAUGUGCCAUGGAAACAGUUUUGAGGAGUUUAUUAUGUGACUUACAAGCUGGACCCUAUACAGUAAAGAUCUGUGUAUGCUGUGGACUACAGAUUUGAGGACUACGUCAAUGACCAGUGUUUUUUGUUUGCUUGUUUUUUUAUAAAAUGGUUAACAAAGACUGUUGGGGAGCCUUUUUCAUUAUAUUUUAUUUAAUGAUGCAUUAAAAAAUG